rnacentral:tRNA from 1 species
UUGGAAGAAAUUGUAAAUUUCUAUUUUUUUAUCAUUAUAUAGG